rnacentral:ribozyme from 1 species
UGCCCAGCAACUUCUAUCCCUACCUCCUCGUGGUACUGGCCGGAGAAUAUGAGCAACCUUAGGGAAGAUCGGGUAACCAACCCCGGUGGGAACUUUGGUCGUUGGCUGACAGGGAAGG